rnacentral:tRNA from 1 species
GUGGCUAUCGUACAGCGGUUAGUACACCGGGUUGUGGUCCCGGCGAUCUGGGUUCAACUCCCAGUAGCCACCCCC